rnacentral:rRNA from 1 species
AGGGCGCACGGAGGAUGCCUUGGCACUAGGAGUCGAAGAAGGACGCGACAAACGGCGAAACGCCUCGGGGAGCUGUAAGUGAGCAUUGAUCCGGGGGUAUCCGAAUGGGGAAACCCGCUAGUGGUUAUACGCUAGCACCAUAUGGUGAAUACAUAGCCAUAUAGGAGACAGACCCAGGGAACUGAAACAUCUAAGUACCUGGAGGAAAAGAAAGAAAAAUCGAUUCCCGUAGUAGCGGCGAGCGAAGUGGGAAGAGCCCAAACCGGAUUUAUCCGGGGUUGUAGGACCUUCAUAAUUGACAAAUCAUGAUAGCCGAAUGGUCUGGGAAGGCCAACCGUAGGGGGUGAGAGUCCCGUAGGUGAAAUUGUGAGAUGCAUGGAAGGAAUCCUGAGUACGGCGGGACACGUGGAAUCCCGUCGGAAUCAACGAGGACCAUCUCGUAAGGCUAAAUACUACCUAGUGACCGAUAGUGAACCAGUACCGUGAGGGAAAGGUGAAAAGAACCCCGGAAGGGGAGUGAAAGAGAACCUGAAACCGUGUGCCUACAAAUAGUCAGAGCCCGUUAAUGGGUGAUGGCGUGCCUUUUGUAGAAUGAACCGGCGAGUUACGAUAUCGUGCGAGGUUAAGCAGAAGAUGCGGAGCCGUAGCGAAAGCGAGUCUGAAUAGGGCGAAGAGUACGAUGUUGUAGACCCGAAACCGUGUGAGCUAGCCAUGAGCAGGCUGAAGGUCAGGUAACACUGACUGGAGGGCCGAACCAGGGCACGUUGAAAAGUGCUUGGAUGACUUGUGGCUAGGGGUGAAAUUCCAAUCGAACACGGAUAUAGCUGGUUCUCUCCGAAAUAGCUUUAGGGCUAGCCUCGAUGUUAAGUCUACUGGAGGUAGAGCACUGAAUGGGUGAUGGCCCCACCUCGGGGUACUGAUCUCAAUCAAACUCCGAAUGCCAGAUAGAUAUAAUCGGGAGUCAGACUGUGGGUGAUAAGGUCCAUGGUCAAAAGGGAAAGAGCCCAGACCGCCAGCUAAGGCCCCCAAGUGUCCGUUAAGUGGAAAAGGAUGUGGAGAUGCACAGACAACUAGGAGGUUGGCUUAGAAGCAGCCAUCCUUUAAAGAGUGCGUAAUAGCUCACUAGUCGAGUGACUCUGCGCCGAAAAUGUACCGGGGCUAAACGGACCGCCGAAGCUGCGGAUUGACUUUAGAGUCAGUGGUAGGAGAGCGUUCUAACAGCGGUGAAGCAGUACCGGAAGGAGCUGUGGAGCGGUUAGAAGUGAGAAUGCCGGUGUGAGUAGCGAAAGAUAGGUGAGAAUCCUAUCCAUCGAAAGCCUAAGGUUUCCAGGGGAAGGCUCGUCCGCCCUGGGUAAGUCGGGACCUAAGGUGAGGCCGAAAGGCGUAGCCGAUGGACAACAGGUUGAUAUUCCUGUACCACUUAUUAAACUGAUGGAGUGACGGAGAAGGCUAAGUUGAGCGUGUGAUUGGAUUCACGUGUAAGCAGUGAGGUGGUCAUGUAGGCAAAUCCGCAUGGCAUAACAUUGAGCUGUGAUGCCGAAGCCGAAUGGCGAAGUCAACUGACGUCACGCUUCCAAGAAAAGCUUCUAGGGUUAAUUUAAUAAGUGCCCGUACCGAUAACCGACACAGGUAGGCGAGGAGAGAAUCCUAAGAUGAGCGAGAGAACUCUUGUUAAGGAACUCGGCAAAAUGACCCCGUAACUUCGGGAGAAGGGGUGCUUGUGAAAGCAAAGCCCCAGUAAACGGCGGCCGUAACUAUAACGGUCCUAAGGUAGCGAAAUUCCUUGUCGGGUAAGUUCCGACCCGCACGAAAGGCGUAACGAUCUGGGCGCUGUCUCAACAAGAGACUCGGUGAAAUCAUAGUACCUGUGAAGAUGCAGGUUACCCGCGACAGGACGGAAAGACCCCGUGGAGCUUUACUGUAGCUUGAUAUUGAGCACUGGUGGCACAUGUACAGGAUAGGUAGGAGACGAAGAAACCAGGACGCCAGUCUUGGUGGAGUCGCUGUUGGGAUACUACCCUUGUGUCACUGGGGUUCUAACCCGUGGCCCUUAUCGGGUCAGGGAACAGUGUCAGGUGGGCAGUUUGACUGGGGCGGUCGCCUCCCAAAGAGUAACGGAGGCGCCCAAAGGUUCCCUCAGAAUGGUUGGAAAUCAUUCGAAGAGUGUAAAGGCAGAAGGGAGCUUGACUGCGAGACCUACAAGUCGAGCAGGGACGAAAGUCGGGCUUAGUGAUCCGGCGGUACCGAAUGGAAGGGCCGUCGCUCAACGGAUAAAAGCUACC